CUUCCUAAACCGGUGCUCAGCAAGGAGAAGGCCAUGUUCAGCUCGAGCGCCAAGAUCGUGAAGCCCAAUGGCGAGAAGCCAGAUGAGUUCGAGUCUGGCAUCUCUCAGGCUCUCCUGGAGCUGGAGAUGAAUUCGGACCUUAAGGCGCAGCUCAGGGAGCUCAACAUAACAGCGGCCAAGGAAAUUGAAGUUGGUGGUGGUCGGAAAGCUAUCAUAAUCUUUGUUCCCGUUCCUCAACUGAAGUCUUUCCAAAAAAUCCAAGUCCGGCUAGUACGUGAAUUGGAGAAAAAGUUCAGCGGGAAGCAUGUUGUCUUUAUUGCUCAGAGGAGAAUUCUGCCUAAGCCAACUCGAAAAAGCCGCACAAAAAAUAAGCAAA